AAGUCGUAACAAGGUCUCCGUUGGUGAACCAGCGGAGGGAUCAUUACCGAGUUAUUACUCCAAACCCUUUGUGAACCUUACCUUUUUGUUGCUCGGCGUACCGCGGGCCGCGGCUUCGGCCCGUCCCGCAGCGCGCCAGAGGACCCAACUCUUCAAUUUAUAGCGUACCUUCUGAUUUACAAAACAAACAAGUUAAAACUUUCAACAACGGAUCCCUUGGUUCUG
rnacentral:misc_RNA from 1 species